rnacentral:RNase_P_RNA from 2 species
CGCGGUGAGUGGUCGCUGUCCGGCAGGGCAGAGGAAAGUCGAGACACGCACACCGCAAGGUGUAGUAUGGUGCCCGGCGCAAGCCGGGGCGGGGCGACCCGACGACGGCAAAAGAAACUCCCGCAGUUUCCAGUAGCCAUAAAGUGCCACAGAAACCAGGGCACCGGGCGACCGGUGCGUGCAAGGGUAAACUCCACCAGCGUGCAACCCAAAUAGGCGGGUUUCUUGUGGACCCGCGGGUAGGGGCGCUCCCUUUACGGGAGAGGAAGGGUGCAAAUCCUUCUUAGAAAGAUGACUGCUUGCAAAACAGAAUCUCGCUUACAGCC